rnacentral:tRNA from 1 species
GUUUUUUAGCCGAGUGGUUAGGCGUGUGCCUGCUAAGUACAUGGUUUUCCCACGAGAAGUCCAAAUCUCUCAAGCAACG